ACGUGACUGCAAUGGUUGCCUCCGCGCGAGCCGUGCCAAACUUGUCCUCUCUCUGAAAAGCGGCUCUCCGUCUCUUUCCGCACCGCGCGGUUUUUGCCCAUUUCGGGGGUUUAUGACGCCCGGGGACCCCUGAGAGCCACUGUUUUGCAGAUUUUGAGAGCCGGAAGAAAACUUUAUAGAGAGUACCACCGCGGAGAAACGCGGGGGAACUUCCAGCAGCAGCCCGAGGGGACCGGGAGGAGGAGUCAACAGGUCCCAGCUUAGGAGCUGCUAUCGAUUCAAGGGGAGAUUUCCUUGGCCAAGGACAGAGAGAUUGACGUUUUUGGGAGGAAGGGUGAAUCCGAGCAAUCGAUGCGGGCCGUCCACCAGCCGGAAGCCCAGUUGGCCCAACGAAACACCACUCAAUCAGUCUGAGCAGCAACACAAAGGGGAGGCUGCUGGCGAGCACCAGAGGCUGCAGAGAAGAUGCUCGUCCAAGGAGAAGAGCUUUGUCCUGGCAUCAUGUGAUCGGCGCAUUCCCGAGGAGCGCUCCGCAGUGGAAGAGUGAAUCUCCGCUCCCGUGGAAACAUCACGGCCACGAAGCAACCCCAUCGCCACUUUCCCAACUCCUGUACUGCAGCCAUCAAAGUCACUUGUUCUUGCCUCAACUUGCCUCCUGUCUCUUUUUACCCCCCCCCCUUUCAUCUUAACGAUAAGGAAUGGCCUUGCUAGUUUCCAGCCACCCCAACGCCUCUCGCAAAUAAGACCUUUCAAACGGUUUCACAAUACCAGAGAAAGGAAGGAUAACACACUCUCCAGUCGUCUUUUAUACUUCUACCUUGUGUUUCUUUUUUUAUCUUUGUACACCCUUAACACACACAUUCAUAAACCAGCAGGAUUUUUUUGUGCAAUCACUGCAGCCUUUUUACGGACGCCAUUACUCAAGUUUCGAAAUCACAAGGGGAUUUUUUUUCCGUUUGGCAGUCUAUUGGAAUAUCUACUCAUGCAGAGCCCCUAUGGGGGAUUAAACCAGGAAUCCACACUGACUUCUAUUCGGCUCCGUUAGAUAUUUUGACGGUGGUUUUUCUGUGACUGGAGGUGGACUGAGCCAUCAUGGCAGGGAAGGGCAACCCUCACCUCCAUGGCUUCCCCAUGCCCACUUACUCCUACUUCUUCCCCCACAUGUUGGGGAGCCUGUCCCCACCAGCGCUCGCGGGACUCCCCAUGAGUGGAUACAGCACCCCCUCAC